rnacentral:rRNA from 1 species
GGAAGUAAAAGUCGUAACAAGGUCUCCGUUGGUGAACCAGCGGAGGGAUCAUUACCGAGUUUACAACUCCCAAACCCAAUGUGAACGUUACCAAACUGUUGCCUCGGCGGGGUCACGCCCCGGGUGCGUAAAAGCCCCGGAACCAGGCGCCCGCCGGAGGAACCAACCAAACUCUUUCUGUAGUCCCCUCGCGGACGUUAUUUCUUACAGCUCUGAGCAAAAAUUCAAAAUGAAUCAAAACUUUCAACAACGGAUCUCUUGGUUCUGGCAUCGAUGAAGAACGCAGCGAAAUGCGAUAAGUAAUGUGAAUUGCAGAAUUCAGUGAAUCAUCGAAUCUUUGAACGCACAUUGCGCCCGCCAGUAUUCUGGCGGGCAUGCCUGUCCGAGCGUCAUUUCAACCCUCGAACCCCUCCGGGGGAUCGGCGUUGGGGAUCGGGACCCCUCACCGGGUGCCGGCCCUGAAAUACAGUGGCGGUCUCGCCGCAGCCUCUCCUGCGCAGUAGUUUGCACAACUCGCACCGGGAGCGCGGCGCGUCCACGUCCGUAAAACACCCAACUUUCUGAAAUGUUGACCUCGGAUCAGGUAGGAAUACCCGCUGAACUUAAGCAUAUCAAU